rnacentral:rRNA from 1 species
UACGUAGGGGGCGAGCGUUGUCCGGAUUUAUUGGGCGUAAAACGCUCGUAGGUGGCCACGCCAAGUCGGAUGUGAAAUCUCCCGGCUUAACUGGGAGGGGUCAUUCGAUACUGGCGGGCUCGAGGCCGGUAGGGGGAAGCGGAAUUCCCGGUGUAGUGGUGGAAUGCGUAGAUAUCGGGAGGAACACCAGUGGCGAAGGCGGCUUCCUGGACCGGUUCUGACACUGAGGAGCGAAAGCGUGGGGAGCGAUCCGG